rnacentral:tRNA from 1 species
GGUUGGCUAGCUCAGUUGGUUAGAGCGUCGAGCUAAUACAACUCGAAGGUCAUGGGUUCGACCCCCCUGCUGACCA